ACUCCGAAGCCAGCUGGGUUCUCGAGGGUCCCGCAGCCCACCCGGCUUCGGUGGGGCCGUCGCAACCCACCCCGGUCCGUGGUCCGCCCGCCGCCCUCCCUCAGGCCGCAGCGGAAGCGUGAGAGAGUAGAUGCGGGAGAGGCCUGAAGCUGCACCACGGCGGAGACACACAGUCACGACUAAAUCCGAGGCAGAGAGAAAGCGGGAGGGUGCCGUUGUGACAACCCGCAGUGUCGGGGUAGGGAUGCAAAAGGGACCGGACUCACCUCAACACCAACGUCCUUCCUGACUAAAGGAAAAACGAACCGUGCUGUAGCCGCGCGCAGGCGCAGAAUAAGAGUGCACAGCGAGAACGCGGCGACGGUAGCCGAAGGAGUUCAAAAGACCUCUAGUGCGCCCACCGCAGGUGACAGCCGAAGUUCAUUUCGUGGUCUGCUUCUUUCCUGUGUGACCUUGCAAAACGGGCUUGACCUCCUUAUUUAUCGACCUCUUUAUCUUCUUAGUAAAUUGAAGAUAUUAGUCGUACUCAUACACAGAGUCCCAAACCAUGUGCACAAACCGACAUUUUAAUUAUAACCAACCUUACGCGAAUAACCGUUUGGCUUGGGUAAAAGUGAAAAAGCUGACUUCUAGGAGCUCACAGCCCAGAAGAUGAAAAAGACAAACAGAUUAAUACCGAUCCCAUGCAGUGGGCACUACCACAGAGACGUGGCCCAGCUACUGCAGAAGCAAUUCUCUACCUGGCAAAGCUGAGGACGUUUUGAUAGAGGGGCGGUAUUUUUGUGGGUUUCUUAAGAAAACAAGGAUUUUGAAGGAAGGCAACUGGAAGUUCGUGGAAAGUGGUGUAGAAGGGUGAGGCUCUUGUGCCUUAAUGAUGCCAGGCUGUUUGUAUUGAAAUAACCUGAAUUUUAAAAGCAUUAUUUAAGUCAACCCAUCAAGCCCUGUGGAAGGUAGCUGGGACACAACAGAUGCAUGAUAUUGAGUCGAUAUAUACACUGAGUACCUACUAUGUGCCAGAUUCUGCUAAACAAGAGGACAGAUCUUCGGGGAGUCUCAUUCUGAUCAGGGAGUCUUUGUCCUCAACCUAUUAACCAACACUCUGGAGGGUGAAACCUGGCCACAAAGAAAGGUGCUCAAUUGAGGUUCAAAAGUAGGUUUGGACUUUACCAACGUUUUUCAGGCCUCUUAUCAAGGGUCUACCCAGCUGAAAAUCUUUGCAUGGAAUUUGUCCAGAGAGUAAUUUGUUUCUAUUCUCUUUCCAUCCCCACCCCCAGAGAAGAAGUGGUGAACUUAAGAGUUCACAGGGAUUAGUGUAUGUGAAACCAUCAGGGAAAGCUUCAGACAAUACGUGGAAGAGAUGGAAGCAGAGCUGAGUUUCAGUCUAAUGGAAAGCCUGGAAAACUGGAGAAAUUGGAGAGAAAACAUUGGCUGGGAGAACAUGGCAAAGACAGGCACACUCAGGGCACAGAGCCUGACCUGAGUGAAAUACUGAGUGUUUGUUCUGUGCUUCCCUAGCUAUCCAGUGAACCAUAGUGAAUGACUGAGGGUGACACGUGAAUAAAACCUGAGCGAUAGAUGAAGAGAGACAUGUUACAUAUAGGUUCUGUUCUAGAGCCGAACAGACCUGGAUUUGAGUCCCAGCUCAUCAACUUGUAGCGGCAAAUUUCUUCAUCUUUCUAAGUCUGCUUUCUCCUCUAAAAAUAGUACCCAUUUUGUUGGGUUGUGAUGUAAAUUAAAUGGGAUAAUGUA
ensembl:lncRNA novel transcript, antisense to COX6C